rnacentral:rRNA from 1 species
AACGAACGCUGGCGGCGUGCCUAAUACAUGCAAGUCGAACGAUGAUCCGGUGCUUGCACCGGGGAUUAGUGGCGAACGGGUGAGUAACACGUGAGUAACCUGCCCUUAACUCUGGGAUAAGCCUGGGAAACUGGGUCUAAUACCGGAUAUGACUCCUCAUCGCAUGGUGGGGGGUGGAAAGCUUUUGUGGUUUUGGAUGGACUCGCGGCCUAUCAGCUUGUUGGUGAGGUAAUGGCUCACCAAGGCGACGACGGGUAGCCGGCCUGAGAGGGUGACCGGCCACACUGGGACUGAGACACGGCCCAGACUCCUACGGGAGGCAGCAGUGGGGAAUAUUGCACAAUGGGCGGAAGCCUGAUGCAGCGACGCCGCGUGAGGGAUGACGGCCUUCGGGUUAUAAACCUCUUUCAGUAGGGAAGAAGCGAGAGUGACGGUACCUGCAGAAGAAGCGCCGGCUAACUACGUGCCAGCAGCCGCCGUAA